UUACAAAAUAUUUUGUAAUUGAAGUUUUAUCCAAUUCUUACUUUUUAAUUCAAAGACAUCAGCUUUAUGGCAGUAGGAUUUCUGGCUUGGGAAUUAAUGAUUUUACAAGAACGAAUACAUCAUCAAGAAAGGCGUUUGGAAUGAAUAAUAUUAAGAGAUACAUUAAAUCCAUUUAAUUUUCCACGUAAUGAAUUUAUAAAGUGCUUUCGAAUUAGUCCUGAUUUGGCAAUGGAUCUGAUUAAUUUAUUACGACCAUACUUGCAACAGCAGCGUUUAACUGCAAUUGCGCCUGAAAUAAAAGUUUUAGCAACAAUACAAUUUUAUGCACAUAGCAAUUAUCAGAGACCAACAGGAACUUGAUACUAGAAGAACGUCAGAAAGUCCGUGAAAAAUUUAUAAAUGCAUAACAGCUAUUUGAAGGAGCAAUUGGGGCAAUCGAUUGCACAUUUGUGAAUAUUUUAGGUCCUAAAAUACACGAGGAAGCAUUUGUCAACCACCAUGGGAUGCAUUCAUUAAAUGUACAAGCUAAAUGAUGCUUUUAUAUGGAGCGCUUUCUCAAUACGUCGCGCUAUGGAAUAUCACUAUAAUAGGAGUGAACGUUGUACUUGGCUUAUUGGUGAUGCUGGAUAUCCUUUGGAGCCAUGACUCAUGACGCCAUUACUACAUUAUUCA
rnacentral:lncRNA from 1 species